CACAGACACACACGUGCACUCACACAUAUGAGCACACGUGGACACCUCUACACCCUCCCAGACGCCCCCACACCAUCCUGAAGCACAGGCACAUGAAGGUACACCCCCACACGCCUGUGUGAACCCACACACUCCUCCCGUACCCACACACCAUGGGCACACCCCUCCUCCCAGCAGCAGCUCUGGACCUGCCUGUGCCCACCCCCGCCGUCGUCCCCCGUAAAUGUGCAGCCAUCCCGCGUCCCCGCGCUGCCGCAGCCCCUCACUCGGGGCCCUCAAAGAGCACGCUUAUAAAAACAUUCUUCCCGUGAUGGAGUGCUUCCUUUGGGCUUCUUCGGCUGGUAACAGAUUAAAGGCGAACAGGCAUUUGUCAUGGGGAAGUGUACCCAGUUGUGCUGGAAAAUGGACUUUUCGAUGAGCGUGAGAGCUUGAACCUGUCACAGAGGGGAGAGCCUGUGUUAUUGCAGCCUGCCGGGCCGCGGUGGCCGCUGCGGCUUAUCGGCUGUGGCAGGCAUCACCUACGACUGAAAGGAUCCCAUUACGGAGGCCCUGAAGAGACUGAAUGGGAGAGUGUGACUGCUCCCUGCAAACCCUCCCCAUGUCUGGACUGAGGAAAUAGCUCGAAGCACCAUCCAUCUCCUGGUGGAGCAGCAGCAGCGUCCAGACCAUCCUGAGAAGAAGGAAUCAUCAUCUACAUUCUACAGAGAAGGACACUGAGGCACAGAGACGGCAGUAGCAGAAGGAGCAAGCUGGGACGGGAAUGCUGCUCUUCAGACAAGGAGUCCGAGUGCUGCCUCAUCGGGCUGUGGAUUGGCCUUGGGGGCUGCUGGGCCAGGCUUUAUGCUCCUGCCUGCUAUAGCCUCAAGGAGAGGAGGCACCUCCAGGUGGUCAGAGUGGGGUCUCCCUUGGCUGCAAGAAGGACAGCUCUGUAGGGGUGGGGGUCCUGGAACUGAGAGACUGUGCAGCAAGGGGGGCUCAUGGAGCUCAUGGGAGCUGCCUCCCUGCAGAUCAGUUCUGCACUCUUGUGGGCGCUACAGAGUGGGCAAGGGUGGGGAGAGUGCAGAGAGGGAAGAGCACUGGAUUAGUCUUGGGUCCUGGGCAGGAAUCCAACCUCCAUUCAUUCAACAAACAUUUUUUGAAUGCCUUGGUAUCAUCCUUCUCAAUCCUUUAACAACAGCUUUGUGAAGCAGACACCCUUUCUGUAUUUCAUUAAUUAUAUGAUGUACUCUUAGAAAUGGUCAACAUCUUACUAUUGAUGGGGUUAUAACUGAUAGCAUUUUUCUUUCUUAGUGGUCUAUACAAUAGACCACAUGGUUUUAAAGCCGGUGGACAGUUCCGUGAAAUAUAGAACUAGCCCAAUUUAAAAAAAUGGAAAUAAUAAUCAUGAUAACAGUAUUAGUAGAUAAUAUUUGUUAACUGUUGACCAUAUGCCAGGCACUAGAUUCAGAAUUUUGUCACUAUUUUGAUUGUUAUUCCCAUUUUGCAGAUAGAAGACCGAGACUAGUCUAUAAUUAUACCACCCUGCACGUACCUGAUCUUGCCUGAUCUUGGAAGCUAAGAGUUAGGGUCAGGACUGGUUAGUACUUGGAUGGGAGAAAACUGAGGCUGAAGAGGUUUCUCAAGGUCACACAGCACAAAUGGUGGAGCAGGGGUUGGAACCCAGUCUGGCUGACUCCAGCUCCUUGGGUUCUGGACCCCUGGAGGAUGCCACCUUCCUGCUGCUCUGGGUUAGGCCUGUGCUGGGUCCUGGGGAAAGAGCCAUGAGCCAGGCACAGGAGGUCCUGUCCUACUCAGACCUGCAGCAAAGUGUUGUGGGUGGGGUGGCAAUGGGGCUAAGACCACUGGAGGCUCUGAGGAGCUGCUGAUAAGGAUGGGAGUAAGGAAGGUGGGUAGAGAGGGUGCCAGGAAAAGUCUGAGAAUGUGGAGGGAGGCUCUUUACAAACGACCUCCACAUUUUCCUCCCCUGUCUCUUUCUUUGCCACUGUUUCUUGUAUACCACCAUCUUCUCCAGGCAAGGAGGAAGGGCAGUGUGUCCACCCAAGGUGGACCCAGAAGUCAUGGGACUCUGUGUGCCUCCACUGGCUCUCACCAAGGACUGACCGAAGCCUCAAAAUCCAAUAAAGCCAAGCCCCUGAACAGGAGGGCUGUGGACAGGAGGCUAAGGUGCUGAUGGUGGAGUCUCACAGCCUGUGAUUGGGAGGCCAGUUGGCUUCUGUAGUGUUGGGCUCCAGAGAGGGGGAGGGUGCUUGGUGGAUAGAAACAUGGGCUUUGGAGUCAGAUGAACUUUGGUUGUAAUGUGGGCUCCUCCACUUACUUGCUGUGUGGUCCAGGCAAGCUUAGUAAAUUCACUGAGCUUUGAUUUCCUCAUCCACAAACUGAGAAUAAUAAUUGUUUUAGUUACCUAUUGCUGAGUAACAAAUAUCCCCAAAAUUUAGUAGCUGAAAGCAAUACACAUUGAUUAUCUCACAGUUUCUGAGUCAGGAAUCUGGGCACAGCUUGGGUGGGUCCUCUACUCAGCUGUCUCACAGGACUGCAGUCAAGGUGUCACUGGGGCUGUAGUCUUAUCUGAAGGCUCCACUGGAGAAGGAUCUGCUUCCAAACUCAUGCACGUGUUAUUGGCAGGAUUCAGUUCCUCAAGGGCUGUUGGACUAAGUGUCUCAGUCUCCUGCCUGGAGGCUGACCUCAGUUCUUACCAAGUGGGCCUCUCCAGCUUGUUUCUUCAGAAUAAGUACAUGAAGAGCCAGAGGGACAGACAGAUAGACAGACUGGAAGACACACAAUACACACCUACAGAAAGAGAGAGAGAGAGAGAGAGGGAGAGAGAGAUAAGAGCAAACAAAACUGAAGUUACAGUCUUUUAUAACCUACUCUUGGAAGCGGCAUCCCAUCAAUUUUGUCAUAUUCUUUUCUUUAGAAGCAAGUCACUAGGUCUGGGAUCAUCAGGAGCCAGGUCAGAAUGCAAUAAUAUUUAUUUUGUGGGUAAGUCAUGGGGAUUAAAUGAGAUACUAGGUGUGAGUACCUAGCAUGGUGCCUAAGCUAAGUUGGGCUAUAUGCUGAACAAAUGGACUAUUAUUAUUGCUGAUGUUGUUGUUAUUCUCAAAGCGAGGCUGGCCUGGGGCUGAGAUAGGACAGAAUCCAACAACUAGCCUCAGUUUCCAUUGGCCUGACAUCAUGAGAGUGUCACGGACUAUAACAACCCCACCCAACUCCAUCUCCAUCUAGUCAAAUCCUGCCUAUUUCCCUGGGUUCACUUGGUUGCCUUCUACUCUAGGAAGCUUUUCUCCAACUGGAUGAUGUGAGCUGUGUUUCUCUGAAUGACCCCCCCUUUGUUCACAGGGAAGGGAGCCACCACCCCAGGCUGGGCUAACUCGCAUGAGGACACCACUAACAUUGUCUGCGUUUCAUUUACGUUAGACAGGCAGGUCUACAAUGUUUGAAGUUUACAGAUUUCUUGGAUAUAGCAGUGAAAGCUUUGUAUUUUUUAUCUGUAAGGAAAAAUUGUGAAGUUUACAUCAUUGCAAAAUA